rnacentral:rRNA from 1 species
CAGAUGGAUAACCGGGAGAAAUCCCGCCUAAUACAACAUAAUGCCGGGAGGGGACAUCCCCUGCCGGCCAAAGGGGGCGACCCCGGUCACGGAUGGGCAUGCGGCGCAUUAGGUAGUUGGUGGGGCAACGGCCCACCAAGCCGACGAUGCGUAGGGGUUCUGAGAGGAAGGUCCCCCACAUUGGAACUGAGACACGGUCCAAACUCCUACGGGAGGCAGCAGUGAGGAAUAUUGGUCAAUGGCCGGAAGGCUGAACCAGCCAAGUCGCGUGAGGGAAUAAGGCCCUACGGGUCGUAAACCUCUUUUGCCAGGGAGCAAUGCCGUCCACGUGUGGACGGAAGGAGAGUACCUGGAGAAAAAGCAUCGGCUAACUCCGUGCCAGCAGCCGCGGUAAUACGGAGGAUGCGAGCGUUAUCCGGAUUUAUUGGGUUUAAAGGGUGCGUAGGCGGCCUGCCAAGUCAGCGGUAAAAUUGCGGGGCUCAACCCCGUACAGCCGUUGAAACUGCCGGGCUCGAGUGGGCGAGAAGUAUGCGGAAUGCGUGGUGUAGCGGUGAAAUGCAUAGAUAUCACGCAGAACCCCGAUUGCGAAGGCAGCAUACCGGCGCCCUACUGACGCUGAGGCACGAAAGUGCGGGGAUCAAACAGGAUUAGAUACCCUGGUAGUCCGCACAGUAAACGAUGAAUGCUAGCUGUCCGGGGGGAUUGACCCCUGGGUGCACAG